UCGAUAUUACAAAGAGAAAAUCCAAUCAAGUUUACUAAGGGCCCGUCUAUACAAAGUUUCGUGAGCUACAAGGAAUUUUGUUUUGUGAGCUAGUUGAAAGGUAACCAACUACUGCGGAUAUACUAAUUUUUCUAGUGGCUUUAUCACUAACAAAUAUUAAUCACUAAUUAAAAUAAGUAUUGCAGAUUUGGCGUUAUAACACUAAUAAAUAUUAGGCAGAUAUGCUGAUAUUAUAUUCCUUUAUAUCAAAACACAAAAACGAAAGAGUACAACAACUUCCUGGAUUUUCUGUUGCUAAGGCACAGCUGCAAAAACCAAACUAUAGUUAGGCCAAAUGUUCUUUUAUAAGCAGUCCAUUGGUAAUCUUAUGUGAAAUGAAUAUCUUACGAAACUCUGAAGAGUUUAAUCUGCAUGCAUACGCAGCAUUAAAUAUGCUCUUUUGCAGAUUCAAUCAUCUACAUGAUGGAAUUCAAUACGCCAGAUUAUCAAGAUUAGUGCCAAUCUGUUCUUUCCAAACAGUGGAUCGGAAGAGCUGUUUAAAUAUUGACCACUGAUUGCAAAGAUAUAAUUAUGAUUAAUUGCUCACCGUAUCCAUACCAGUGUGCAAGAUACGUUUGUCAAGGUGAAUUUUGAAGCAAGGUUGUUUGUCGUCUCCAUUUCGAAAGACGCUAGGGAGUAAGAUGAAAUUAUCAGAUUGGCAUUGCAUGAACUGUUGAAUGGAUCUGGAAAGAAUGGCAUUUUCAAUGUUUAGAAUUCAAAGAGCAAAAACACAGACUGAUUAGAACAUGCAUUCAUAGAUAGCUGAAAAUAUUUUGUGUGAAUGAGAAUGAACUCUAGACGCUCUAGCACUUCUAGGAAGCUUCUUGGAAAUAUAAAUCAUGGCUUUAAUAUUUCCCUAGAAAUGAUGUCUGUUUUCUUUAUGAUGGUUACAAAAACAUUCUGUGAUUCAAAUUUUUAGGAAAAAACAGGAGCUUCGAAAUUUCUUCGUUUUUUUGCGCCAUCUUAAUGCAAAUGUAAGUAUUUACUAAAUCAUAGAAAUUAACUUUCAAAAUGUGGAAUUUACCAAAUUGGCAUGACAUGCUAAAUUAGGCAUCUUUAGAUUUUCAGUGAGCAGAAAUUCUGACUAUUGCCGACCUCCUCGUGUUUAGAAGAAACGUCAAACUCAAUUGCAAAUAUUAAAUUUCAGGUGACGUUGAUUGUUUUUAGACAGACAUGAAAAUAAUCUCAAAAAAACACAGCAGUUGCAAUUGUCUUUACACAGCUAUCCAAACGGACGUUGCAAUCGACUCGUGGCUUGAGAAUGUGACCAAACCUGACGGUCAACACAUAAACAAGUUGAAUGUUGUUUCCGUCGAUGAAAAUCCCAUUUUGUUUAGGGCUUACAAAUCCAAAGACAAACUUCUAGUCGCAUAUUGGACAGAAGGGUAGUAGGUCAUGGUGGCUAACCUCUGUUCACAUAAUCCUCAAUACAUAAGAAAAAACCAUGCAGAUUCUUUAAGGUCAUGUUCUGAUCUAAGCCUUACAAUAACUCAAAACAAUAUAAUAAAAUCUAAGGCGGAGUUAACGCAAAUCGGAUGAUUGGAUUGAUGCUGCAACAUCUUAAUUACACAGGGCAUUAACUCAUCUUAAGUCAACAGCAUUUCAACGGACAAGUUGUGUUUAAUUCACUAAAAAACUGUGCAUCAUUUUGUCGAAAGGUGAAAAAAGCUCAGGAAAGUGUUCAAAUGUGGAGAAGUAGCCAUUGCGGUCGCAAAUUUUGACCAGAAGGGUGGCAUCUUGGUUUUUCAGAUGCAAGAAUUGUUACCAAAUAAACUCCUACAAUUCUCUGAAAGAAAACAAAUUAUGAAAAAACACGGACGACCGAGGGCACACCUAUGAUAUUUCGUACUUGAAAGCCUCGGGUAUUCAAUUUUUGGCAAGAAUAAUCCAACAUAUAAGAAAAAUACGGCCAACAAUAAAUAACCAAAUAGCUUCUUUUCGUUUUACACAAUCGAAAAAUUUUCAUUCUUUUGCUAAUUCAGAAAUAACUUAUUUGGCAUUAACACAGUGGCUCUACCUUGUGAUAUUGAUCCAGAUGUAACUAACACAGGGCGUAGACAUCUUUUAGUUACUAGGAGCCUAUUUAAUCAUAACCUUGAGAGUCAAAAAAAUUACGAGAAGAAGUACUGCAAAUACAAGUUUCACAAGUGAAAAAUAAAACCCCGUCUAUGACUAUAAUUUCAUUAAUUUUAACAUUUGGUGUUAUAUUUUAACAUUUUAACUAUAAUUUUAUGCUAGGAAAUUUUCCAAUUUUUGGUCUACGUCUUCAUGGCCUCAACCCUAUUUCUAUGUGCAACCUACAGAUCUGGUAAUGGGUUUGAUUUGGAUUGCGGCUUCAGCAUAAGAUGCGUCUUGCGUCUUUUGGAGUUAAUUGGCAAUAGUAACAGUUUACGGCCGUUUUCAGUAAGUAUAAGAACAAAUUAUGCAAUUAAUAGAGGUUGAAUAAUGGUCCACCCAAAGCAACAUGAAACAAAGUGAGAGCCAUUAGAACUUGCCAUAAAGUUACUUCUAGCAAUUUUUAUUAUAUUUUAAGCGGGAAUUUCACUUUUUGUGGCACGGGACGUUUUGCAAUCGCUGCUGCGUCUUUGUACAUUAUUUCAAUGCAGAUUGCGGAUUUCGGCUGAUUUUUGCUCAGUUUUGCGGCUUUCAAACCCCUCCUAUAUUGAUAAAUUUUCACAAAAUCACAGUGUUCUGGGUUUUUCCAAAACUCAACUUUCAACAAAACUCAAAACUCGUACUGAAGUUUCCUCCUUUUUCUGUUUGUCCAGUAUUGGUAUCUUAUACAUGUUUUUAUAAAUGGCUUUGAAAAAAGCAAACAUUUAGUAAACUAAAGCUUUUCGUCUGACACUCUUCAGAGUUUAAAACGUCAGAACAUAGAUCGAAAACUCUACGCUAGGAAAUAUAUAUAUACCCAGUUGUGGAUCGAAACACUACCCAAAGAUUGGAGGAUAGGAUAAAACAACACGUUCCAUCUAAUAUUAGAAACAAAACCCAUCCGCAAAGAGAACAGCCACCUCGGUCUUGCAAAUCUAAAAUUACAACUAAAACCUGCGAUUCUGCUAUCGGGCAGCAUUUACUAGAAAACCCAGAUUGUGCAAAAAACUACAAUGGCGACAUGUUUCGGAUUAUUGGUAAAGCCCGAUCGUCGUUCCACCUAGCAGUUUUGGAAUAUACCUACAUAAGCACGAAAAAACCGCCACUGUGUAGACAAAAGGAGUUCGUUUUCACCUUAGGACUCCAUUGGUAACAUUUUCAAUAGGCAAGUGGCACUGAUUGGUCAACCUAUACAGUCAUGUGCUCGUGUUUUCUGAUUGCCUAUUUCGAUCCACAACUGGGUAUAUAUAUUUCCUAGCGUAGAGUUUUCGAUCUAUGUUCUGACGUUUUAAACUCUUAAGAGUGUCAGACGAAAAGCUUUAGUUUACUAAAUGUUUGCUUUUUUCAAAGCCAUUUACAAGUUUUGUACCACCAAAAGAUUGUUUACAUGUUUUUAUAAACGCAAUGAGCACAUCCUGCCUAGUUCCCCCUAUGUCCUUGAGAACCACUCCCGAUGUGCAAAAAGGACUGCACAGCUUCAAAGUAAUGGCCAACAAAGAAUUCUGGUUCUGUAAAACCAGCAAAAAGCCUCAUUUUUAUUAUUUGCAUAAAAUAAUCGUUAACGGUGAAGAGAUUUUGAUUUAAGACCUUUCUAUUCAAGAGUUCUAGCUUUUUGGCAAAAACAAUCCAAAGCAAGUAAUCCAUAUCUCACUGCUGGUCAAACUUCAUCCAGUAGUUAAUCUUUUAUUAUCCUGCUAGACACAUGGAGAGGCCAAAUUUCUAUAUCCCUUAAUCUGUUCAGAAUCUGCCCCUUCUCAAGAUAUCAACACAUCGUUAUUGUUCAAUUAAUGGAUUUUUAUAAAAUCAAACGGUAUGAUCUUCAUAACUUUGAGACAGCUAUAAAGCUUUUGAAGAUAUUAUUCACUUCUCUCAAUAAAUGAGAUCAAGAUAUCAAACCAAGCACCAAUUGGACUCUAAAUAUUGACUAGAAGACAGGGAAGAUGUUAUAAUGCUAUCAUUGCUUUAAUUAGCCCUGUGUGCAAAAUACCAUUUUGAUUUUUUUUCAUUUUUGUCUAUUUAGCAAAAAAAAUUUAUCAUCGAAGAAAAGGCCAGUGUUGCAUUAACUUUUUGUUUACUAGGUUCCUUUUUUGGAUUUGCUUGUGUAAAAACUUGCUGUGAAGCUACAACAAUUAUUUUUGCUAUAGUCAUAGAAAACAAGCAUCUUUAACUAAUUAAAAACAGAGCAAAAACUAAAAGCUUUGCAAGCCCCUUUUGACAGCUUCCAAUUUAGGCUACUAAGAUCACUGGGGUAUGAAUGAAAUAUUUCAAAAACAGGAUAAAAGUAAUCAAGGAAAAGAGCCUGUGAGCAAGGUAUGAUCAUUUUGAAAUCAAGCUACCCAUAAAAGCCCCUGAAAGCUAAUAGACAAUACUAAGUAAAUUGUGUAAUACUAAUUAACCACUAAAAGCUAUAAGACAUUAAACUUCAUUUUCAUAUUUAAAGGAAGGAAUAUGAUUCAGUUAGAUAUGGCAAGCAAAACAUUCAAACAAACUUUCAAAUUUUCAGUUUACUAUUGUAAAUUAUGGUAGACAAAUAUCAAACCAAGUGUAACUGCCACAAUAAAAUAUUCCUCAAAUCACUCACAAGAUUGUUUUGUUCGAAGAACUUUCAGCAGCAGCAACUUUUCUAGCUCUUCCAGAAACAAUAACUCUGCUAUGGACAACUGGCCUGAUUAACUUUUAAAAAGAAAAAGAUACAAAUUAGUUACCUCUACAUGACAAGAGCCUAUCGGCCUAUAAGACUGAAAAAAUUGAACUUUACAUAGGCUAGCAGAUAUACUUUCAUUGUUAACUUUCUCUGAUAGUUAAAAACAAACUCUAGCAGGUAAAAAAGCAAGCAUUCCUAACAACUUUUUCUCUUACAUCUGAUAAAAUUUAUUUCAUUUACAAUGCGGAAACAGUCUACAGAUAGUAUCCUAUUAGCUUAAUUUUGCAACUUAUCGUCAGGGAUGGCGCCAGAAAGUGAGUGAUCCACCCACAAAGAUGUAAUAUAACACCAUUUUCGCUGUGGUAAUUUUAGUUCAAAAUAUGAAAAAAAAAAUUUAAAAAAAUCAAACAAUAUGAUAAAAAAUAAAAGUAAAUCACAAAGUGGAAGUUAUGAAAGUGCCGAUGUUGCUUAAAAUUUUUCAAAAAUUGAAAUGCCGACGGGGGCGCUCAAUGAAUUUUUUGGGGGGCUCUUGCACCCUCGGUGCACCAUCCCUGCUUAUUGUUUUAGUGCAUUUUUUUGGAAAAUAAUUUUACUGUGUGCCUUUUAGAGGUCAUUCUUUUUCUUUCAAUGAAUCACACAUCACGAUUCUUUGAUACUACAAACAACUGAGUUCUUGAUGCUGAAACAAGGUCCUUGCUUGCUACAAAGGCAUGAAAUUGUGAGCCCAUAUGAAAUUACUGUGUGUUAGGUAGUCAUUGUUAUUCCAUCACUGCAAGUUAUAAAGCUGAAUAAUCCAUCCCUGCUGUGAUAAAUACACCUUAUUGAAGAGUGCCUUGUAGUACUUGUAUGCAUCCUUUAGCAUGAUCUAACCACAAAACCACCAGAGAGCAUUCUGAAGAAAAUUUUCUGCUGAAAAUGUAGCCCAAGUACUUAAAUAACUGAUCUAGAGAUAAAAAUGUAGCUAAUGACGAACAGCAUCCCAAAAACAGUGAAAGAUAAAAUCUGAACAAGGAUUUGAAAUCAAAGUUCAUCAAUAAAAAAUGACAUAACAUGAAUCUGUUUGUAAGAGCUUGUCAAUGGAGUAGUAAUGUUUUGAUUCUUUGUAAAAUUCAAUUGUGUAAAUAAGUAAACUUUCUCCUUUGGAUAAAUUUGAAGAAAAAAACAGAAUGUUGAGGGUUGUAUAGGGGGUCCUUGUUCCCAUGUUCCCUUAAAAAAUUGUAAUUUGUUCCCAUGUUCCCAAUGAAAUUUUUAAAAAUUUUCCUGAUACCAGUAUACACUUCUCUGCUUUUAUCCGUUUGAAUACUUUCUUUUAAACAGUCAAUUGUUUUAGCGCCAAUGUUGAUAAUCAAGUUGUUUUAUAUCCCUUUUACUUAUCAAAACUUAAAUCUUAAUUUAAUUGAUCAUGUCAUUGAUUAUUUUUUCAUCUGCUAAUUAUGCAUGCAAGAUUUACAUGUAUGCAAGUCUCUUUUCAAGAAACAUUCAAUGUAAAGAAAAAGAUAGACAUUUCUAAUGUCUCGUGUAUCAAAUUAUUUAAUCAAAUCUGUGCAUUAAAAACCUUCAGCAAAUGCAAAAAGGAGUGUCAACUUGUAAUAUUCUGCAUGUUAUUGAUAUAAAGCUUUAUCAAGCAGACAAAACAUUCACAACGUCUUAUUAUCACUUGCCUAUAACUCAAGUUAUAAAAAUACAAUUAAUAAUGUAUUGGCAUUGAGAGGCAUAAGAUCAACAAGGGGUCAACAAUUCAUCUUCAUCAAGUUAAGAUCACAUUCAUUGAGCGAUUAUUUGAAUCGAUAAAUGCUGUGCAUCUGAAAUUGUUUAACUCGUUUACUAAAAAUAGAAGUACCUGCUCGGGCGGUUUCUGCUUGUGGGUGGGGAGAGUGCUUGCUUCUUUGUACCUGUAAAGAUAAAAUUUUCUCAGUAAAACCUAUGAGCAUGCUAAUAAACAAAAGAUAACAUCUUUAUCUGUAGUGCUGGUAGGCAGACUAAGAAGUUCAGAAGCCAAGGAAAAGAAACGGAAGAGGCAUUCGGUCACAUCGGGGGUCAAACGACAAAAAGAAUAAACAAAAAGUGGGCUUAUGAAAAAAACAGCAUGAAGUACUCACUCUAAUUUCUUGAACUUUUCUGGACCAACGGCCACAUAUAUGCCGCCAUUUUCCAACUUGUCGAGUUCGUUUACUCGAUGGCCGUGGCUUGGUGUUCUUAUACUACGCACAGCGACUUGUGAUCUUGUGUCCUUGGUCACUCGGUCUAAAAACGCAUCAAAACUACGAAUUUCUUUACGAUUUAAUACCAGACGUUUCCCAUUCUGAUACGUGUCUCCAUUUCUAUAAAUGGUUAUUACAGGUGCUGCCAUCUUUAGAAAUAAAAUUACUCAAAUUAUUUAUGUCUCGCCUUCUAACUUCUUGUAGAGUUUUAACUGUGCACUUGCUUAGAUACUCCAAACUACGUCAAUUCCUGUGUCAUUGUUCUCAGGGUGGUUGACAACUCUAUUUGCUUUUUUAAUGACGUCAAAAUUUCAAACUAUUCUCAUUUACAGGGAUGACAUUUCUUCAAAGACAAUUCAAUCAUUAAAUCGAAAUGCAUUUUGGGGUAGGUGAGACAAAGCAAGAAAUGUUGUCAAGGAAACAAAGAAGUAAAUAACAACAAAAUCAACACGUAGAAAAUUAUGUUAUUGGAAGAGGUGGCAAAUUGAUGCCAUUAGUGAUAUAAUUGAUAUUCCAUAAUCGCCGUGCCGAAUCUACGAACAACAGGCAUUACACCAAAUUAAUGUGGCAUCCCGAGAAAGUUGCAUACGGUUGCGCGAAUGAUAGCGUUUUCGCGUACCCCGGAGCUUUCCAAUUUUUCGAACGAAACUUCUUGGAAUGGCAGGCAAUUGAUCCUGUGUAAACAUAGCCCAGAUUAUCUAAAAUCUCUGUCCUGGAGAUUUGUUGUUUUCAAUUAGGCUUUUUGAUUUGUUUAACGAUUUAUCAAAUGCUACGAUUUCUGACCAAAAUCUCAGUCAACAAUUUUUUUUCUUAAACUGGUUUAGUGUUUGUCAUUUUGGUACGUGGGUUUCUUGACUUGCCUUUGUCAUACUCACUCAACUAGAAUUUAAUCUUUCACAUAUUUUUGUCGCCUUAGAAAUAACUUGAGAAGAAAAUUAAAUCUGUUGAAGAGGCAUUUGAAAUCUGUGACCCCUUAAAACAACCAGUUUAGUUGUAUGACCUCUUAAAACAAACAUCAAGUCUAGGAUCUCUUCUUACAACGUGCUACGCUUCGAGGUUCGAAAGAACGGUGCAAUAAUACAGUUUGGUGGUCCAUUCUGAGUAUUCUAAAACGCCUAAGAAAAGCAGUUAAACCCUAUUUUUUGUCAUAGCUCCUGAAAGAGUUCUUCGUUUAAGCGUCACCACCCGAAGGCAGAAAAGACUUUGAAUGCAAAACCAAACCAACAAUUUGCAUCAGAAGCUCUGCUCAUGUGUUACUGUCAAACUUGCAUUAAUCAGGUCUCUUUAGACCAGACAAAGAGUUUGACUUAUAUGAUCUCCGAUUUAGACCCCGUUUACAAUGUGCCGGGUAAAUUUUAUCAGCAUCAAAAUUAGUUCAGAUAGGCGUCGCGUACUAGACUCACGCUACCCACACGAAUUUGAGAGCGGCUAUCAGAACAAAAUUAGUUCAACUAGGAAAGUGGAUUAAAUUAGUUCCGAUAGCUAUGUGAUACAGUGUAAACGGUUUCAUCCAGAUAAAUUUUAUUCACAUCGUAUUUUGCUCGAAAGCGAUUGGCUAUUUCUUCCUAUUUAGUUUUUACUGUUUCCUAAUGAAGACCUUUCGCCAUCUUUGCUGCCUUGUAGAGGAUAAAUACUAAAACUAACUAACUAUAGUUAAAACUAAUUUUGCCUAAUUUGUUUUGACAAUAUCUUCGGACUUCCUCUGAAAGAGAAGCAGACGAUUUUGAAGAGAGAAUUGAAAGUAUUUUUAAGUUGGCGGGAAUUUACCUGUUAUUUUGUUUCCCAGAGAUGGCUUUGUUUUGGGCGUUCUGUGCACGAUUUAGGUCACGUGACUGCAGUUAUCCGGCACAGCGUACAGUGCAAAGUGGACAAAAUUUGUGCGGCACAGUGUAAAGCCUGAUUUACACGAGAUGAAUUUUUUGUGCGAAGCGAAUUUUUCGCCGCGAAUGCGCAAAAAAUAUGCGCAGAAGUAGAGAUUAGAAAAUUCGCAGCGAAUUCGCUGCGAAAAAUUCGCUGCGAAAAAGUAGAAACCAUUCCUACUUUUUAGCUGCGAAAUUUUUCGCCUUGUAAAAUAAACCAAUCAGAACAGCUUUGGAAGACACCUGACUUCUGUUUUGGUUUCAGCCUUUAAAACGUCAAUAAAAUAGGUUGGUAAUUAUUCAUUUCCUGUUCCUUGUACACAAUCCAUGUAUGUGGAUUCAUAUCAGUUUAUUAUUCAAACAUUUAAAGUUCAAAUUGACGAAAACUGGCUUGAAAGUUUCAUCAAGCUUCGAUGGCGACCUUUGAAAGUAUUAUCCUGGUCUUAUAAAUGUAAACGUAAAUCUCUCUUACCGAAAGAUGGAAUUUCCCCUUCUGAAGACGUCCUGAAUAAAUUUUUCUAAUCCAGUAUCGCUUUUUGCUGGCUUUUUGAUAAAUUUAAAAUUUAAAGCUUCCUGAUAAGAGCACUCUUCGGACAGUCGCUAUAUUCUUUUGUAAUACUCGCAGCGAAUUCGCAUAAAAAUUUCUGCCAGUGUAAAUUCGCUUCGCAUCAAAUAAGACUUUCUGUAUCAUUUGCAUAUAAACUAAACAGCAGCGACCCUAGACAUGAUCACUGAGAAGCAACACAGUUGACAUGCUUAGUUCUACGGAAAAAAGGGCCACCAAGCAGCAAAAUUGUACCUUUCCAAUCAUUGUAUCUUCUUAAAAUCUAUAGAAAGCAUAUAGAAGGACAGGUCAAUAAAUUAUAAAGUGAUCUAUGUCUUUGUGUUCAAGAGUGAUCCAACGGCGUUAUGUAGCUUACAAUAGGCAAAUUGAUUAUCUGAUAAAAUACUGUUUUCCCGUAAACUGGUUAAUUGUUCGAAGAAAUUUCUUACAUUUGUGAAAACUGCAAUUGCAAAAAUUGGUCCUGUUUUACGCCUGAUUUGUAGUGUAGUUGCAAUUUUCCAAAUACACACCAAUCCUUCAAUAGAAGAAGCAUACACACAGGAAACUGAAGCCAGCAAGUAUACAGAAUACUUUCUCAGAAAACUAGACAGUCUCUGAUUUGUACCAAUUUUUAAUAAUCAUGCAAAAUCGAAAAAAGUUCAUCAAAGGUUAAAUAUUUUGUCAAAAAUACCAAUUGAACCAAUGGAAAAAACCUUCUAGUUGAAUCCAACUGUAAAAUGAAAACUUGAUUCAAGGCUAUGCAUAAUCUACAUGUACAGGCUGAAAUCAGGGAUGUUCCAUUAGAAGAAGGGCCUGGAAAACAAGUCUUGGCAGUCGACAAUGUAUGUCUUAAACUCCCAGAAACAUGUUGCCAGACGAAUAUACUGCCGAUUUUCUGUUCCGCUUUAGCAAUAAAUACAAGGAGCAUAUAAGAGAAAAAUUGCAUCAAUCAGACAAAAGAGCUCGUGAGAGGAAAACGAGGCAACUGCCAAAACAGGAACUGAGGAGCAUAUAAAAAAUGAGAAGCGGUGGCGCAAAUAGUUUCAAUACACUUAUAGUUUCGGAAGAAGGAAUUCAGAAGACAGCUAUCAUGUAUUGAGAAUAAUGGGGGAUGAAGCUCCUAGCUCCGUAUUCUCACUUUUAAAUUAAGCAACGACUCUUUAUUUCCGUAUCAAUUUGCGAUUGAAAAUGACGUGUGUUGUAAGCAGAAGUUAAAUUUGCAAUGACUCCUGCGAUACUUUUGAAUGCUUAGAUAAUGUUUGAAGGGGAAUGUAGCAGACAUCUGAUAAGAAAUGAUAUGAAAAGAUGAAACACAAAAAAAGCCAAUUUUUACCAACUUUAGAUGUCAUUUACUUUAUGAAAUAUGUUCAAUAAUUUAAUUUUUAAUGCUAAUCGAUACAUAUUAAUCUAUAAAUCAUUUCGUAUAUUAACAAAUUCAGAGGUGCAAGAAAGAAGAAAGGUUUUGUCACUUACAGCAAAAUUCCAAGAUCUUAAAUCUGAUUGGUCACAAGAAAGCUGUCAAUCAACAACAGCCAACCAAUUAAAUAUUUGCUACUCCUGGCGAUGAUACUAAUAACGUAUCUGUGAUCUAGGCGAAAUAUAGACAUGCG